GAAAGAUGAAAAGCACCUUGAAAGAGGGUUAAACAGUACUGAAAAUUGUUGAAAGGGAACGCUUGUGACCAGACUUGGGCGCGGCGGAUCAUCCGGGGUUCUCUCCGGUGCACUUCGCCGCGUUCGGGCCAGCAUCAGUUCGUCGCGGGGGAAAAAGGCUUCGGGAACGUGGCUCCUCCGGGAGUGUUAUAGCCCGUUGCAUAAUACCCUGCGGUGGACUGAGGACCGCGCAUCUGCAAGGAUGCUGGCGUAAUGGUCACCAGCGACCCGUCUUGAAACACGGACCAAGA
rnacentral:rRNA from 1 species